rnacentral:rRNA from 1 species
UGAGGAAUAUUGGUCAAUGGGCGGGAGCCUGAACCAGCCAAGCCGCGUGAGGGAGGAAGGCCCUAUGGGUCGUAAACCUCUUUUGUCAGGGAACAAAAGCGAGUAUGUAUACUAGUCUGAGUGUACCUGAAGAAAAACGCAUCGGCUAACUCCGUGCCAGCAGCCGCGGUAAUACGGAGGAUGCGAGCGUUAUCCGGAUUUAUUGGGUUUAAAGGGUGCGUAGGCGGCGGUGCAAGUCAGCGGUAAAAGCCCGGGGCUCAACCCCGGCGAGCCGUUGAACUGCAGUGCUAGAGAAGGCGAGAGGUACGCGGAAUGCGCAGUGUAGCGGUGAAAUGCUUAGAUAUUGCGCAGAACUCCGAUUGCGAAGGCAGCGUACUGGCGCCUGACUGACGCUGAGGCACGAAAGCGUGGGGAUCGAACAGGAUUAGAUACC